GGCAAGGUAAAGGCUUACCAAGGGCGAUGAUGCAUAGCCCGAGUUGAGAGACUGAUCGGCCACAUUGGGGACUGAGACACGGCCCAAACUCCUACGGGAGGCAGCAGUAGGGAAUCUUCCACAAUGGACGCAAGUCUGAUGGAGCAAACGCCGCGUGAGUGAAGAAGGUUUUCGGAUCGUAAAGCUCUGUUGUUGGUGAAGAAGGAUAGAGGUAGUAACUGGCCCUUUAUUUGAUGGUAAUCAACCCAGAAAGUCACGGGCUAACUACGUGCCAGCAGCCGCGGUAAAU
rnacentral:rRNA from 1 species